GUACAAGAUCCCUCUGGUUGCCCACAAGCUAAGCUGACUCCAUGUCUCUUUGUUAUUCAUCCUCGUUCGCCCCUGGUCAGGGAGGAACAAAGUGGGGUCUAAGUUCUGGGACAAGCAAGCCAGGUUCCAUCAGUCACUAGAAGAGCUCAAUAUAUUACAGAGAUAGAAUACAAAGGAAAAUCAGCAGAGGGAAAAAAUACUGGAAAAUUACCCGGAAGAAACCAGAUGCAAGCUUGCAAAAGGACUCUCCAAGAGGAAUCUCUCAGUAUUCAGCAGCAUGUGACAGUGCCUAUGAUAUACACUAUGCCAGAGAAGUUCACUAGAGAAUCAAGUGUUUUAGUGGAGACUGGUCAUACAAGUACCCUCUGUGCAUGGUGCUGCCACCCACCGACUGAGUGCAGCUUGGCUGUCACCCAUGGUGCCCCUCCCCUGCUCCUGACACUUUAGAAGCUGCUACUGCCUCUUUGAAGAAGGGAGAAGGUACCAUAACAUGGCUAAGAUCAGAGAGGAAGAAAUCUGGAUCUGUUAUUAAUGUCCCCAACCUCCAAGAACCCCAAAUGGCUGUGCUGAACACAGCCUUCCUGAAGAUUCCGUAGUUUCAGCCCUGCCAUUUUUUCCUCAGAGACAGUACAGCUGUUAAUCAAACAGUUGGAGUCCACCCACCCAAUCACUGAAUUGGCUGCCCACUAACCAGAGGGCUUUGACCAAUCACUGGCCUGGAGCUGCUAUAUAACCAGCACUCCCUACACUCUGCUCCAGUUUGUCUAGGGAGUGCUCCCUCCAGUGUACUGACCACCCUGUGCUUCAGCACAGGCCCUGUUAAAAUACAGAUUCACUUUCAGGGUCCUGCGAACAUGUUCAUUAUUUCUUGAGUAGUGUGGGCUCCAAAAGUCGUGUAGAUCUCAGGAUUCUUAUCCUUAGUAGUAUGGACAGAGCAGUCAUCUCAAAAGAAAGUUCAAUAAAUGCUAGGGACUAUUUGCCCUGAAGAACUCCAGAGACCAGCAGCAAAGGAAGAAACUAGUGCCUGACAAAGUCGACUUCUGGCAUCAAGCACAAGCUGGCACCAGUUCAAAGUGGCCAGCAGCUGGAUGUGUUGAUACCCAACAUUAUCCAGUAUCAUCUGAUGACAUCUGGAGUGCUAGAAGAACUGAACUUUUCAAUUCAUGAGUUAGAUCUGAAUGGAACAAAAGAACACUCAACUGAUUGGCAACACCACAAUUCAAGACUGCCAGAAAGAAACCAGGAUUCACCAUAAGCCACAUUUGGUUAGCUCCUGUGCUUUCAGGUUUUACACAGUGUUCAAAUUCACAGUGUUGUGAAUUUCCUACCUCAAACUUGGAUUCAGACAUUUCUUCAAGGAGCUUUGCUUUGUAUCACUAGGAAAAUGUACCUAGAAACCAUAUUUAGCCACUGUGGGUGUUCACUACUCAUUGUUUCUAGGCUUUUCAGUAGACAGAUCUAGAAAAUAAGUUUGCUUGUUUGUUUGUUUGUUUCAAGAUAAACACAUGAUAACAUCAUAUUGAUAUUCCUAACUGAAAUGUAGAAUUUCGUAUUUUCCAACUUUCUUAAGUACAUAUAUAUAUUUUUCUUACAUCAAAAAACUCGGUUCCUAAUGACAUCUAACUACUUGCUUAAUCCUAUUGUACAUAUGCAGUAGUUACAUAAUAAUACCACUAAAAGGAGAUCGACAGAAACAGUUUAAUUUUCCCCCAUUAUUUUGGUCCUUAAUAUA